UUUAUUCUUAAAGGAUGCAGGUACAGAAAACACAUUUCACUGUACAAUUGUACUAUGUAUAACUGUGCAUGUGAAAAAUAAACCUCUUUGACUUGACUUUCACAUU